rnacentral:rRNA from 1 species
UACGUAGGGUGCAAGCGUUGUCCGGAAUUAUUGGGCGUAAAGAGCUCGUAGGCGGUCUGUCGCGUCGGCUGUGAAAACUCGGGGCUCAACCCCGAGCCUGCAGUCGAUACGGGCAGACUAGAGUGCUGUAGGGGAGACUGGAAUUCCUGGUGUAGCGGUGAAAUGCGCAGAUAUCAGGAGGAACACCGGUGGCGAAGGCGGGUCUCUGGGCAGUAACUGACGCUGAGGAGCGAAAAGCGUGGGGGAGCGAACAGG